rnacentral:tRNA from 1 species
GCCCGCCUAGCUCAAUCGGAUAGAGCGUCAGACUCUUACGAGGGCGGGAUCUGUUCUGUCCUCACCAGGGCUAUCUGAAGGCUGCGAGUUCGACCCUCGCGGUGGGCU